GACGAACGCUGGCGGCGUGCUUAACACAUGCAAGUCGAACGGAAAGGCCCUGCUUUUGUGGGGUGCUCGAGUGGCGAACGGGUGAGUAACACGUGAGUAACCUGCCCUUGACUUUGGGAUAACUUCAGGAAACUGGGGCUAAUACCGGAUAGGAGCUCCUGCUGCAUGGUGGGGGUUGGAUAGUUUCGGCGGUUGGGGAUGGACUCGCGGCUUAUCAGCUUGUUGGUGGGGUAGUGGCUUACCAAGGCUUUGACGGGUAGCCGGCCUGAGAGGGUGAACGGGCACAUUGGGACUGAGAUACGGACCAGAAGGAUACGGGAGGCAGCAGUGGGGAAUAUUGCAAAAUGGGCGGAAGCCUGAUGCAGCAACGCCGCGUGCGGGAUGACGGCCUUCGGGUUGUAAACCGCUUUCGCCUGUGACGAAGCGUGAGUGACGGUAAUGGGUAAAGAAGCACCGGCUAACUACGUG
rnacentral:rRNA from 1 species